CGGAGCGCUCCCAGCUGGGCGACAACAACAACGGGACGCUGAUGGUCGUCGUGGCCGACCUCACACGCCAUGAAUAUUCACCAGAAUUUACAUACCCAGCUCAUCCCUGAACUCGGAUACAUCCUCAGUAAGCGGAGAUAAUGACUUCAUGAUACAUCACAAUGACUCCGCUGAUAGAGGUCACAAACACUGUAGGCCUAGACUCCCCUCCAGAUUGUCUAUACACAGGCUCACUGAGGAAGUCUGGUGUCAAGACCCCCAGAGGUGGUCCUAGAAUCCCUGAUGCUAAUGGCCAAGGGGAAGUUGACAAUGCAAGGCCAGUAAAAAAUUCAAAGAUAAGUGGUGAAGCUGCGGCAAUAAAAAUGUGCAAUACUCAGGUGUCAAACCCAGUUGGCAGUGGUUCGAGCUGCCAGGGCAUUACUGCAAUAUCCCACCGGCACCCAUGUGCAACAAGUCCUAUGCGUGUACCUCCCCUCCCACAAACCACUGAUAUUUUGCUGUCACAAGCCGUACAAGCCCUUAGUCUUGGCCCACUCACUACACAGACGCGUCCACGUACUCGAAGACGGCAAAGUAAACACCAAAAAGGAAAUGUUGAACAAAGUGAUGGAAAUAAUAAAAAACUGGCAUCAAGUUGUAGUGGUCUUCCAGAAAAUUCAGGUGGAAGUGUUAUUGAGAGUGCCCCUCAGCAGUGUGGUGCAUGUGGGCUGGAAUUCACUUCCCUCCCAGUUUUAACCCAGCAUCUGGCUCGUCAUGUAUACGAUGGACUGUAUGCGGCACAGUGGUUAACUCAGGCAAUGGGCUUGGCUUUUUCCAGGCCAAACAUAGAGGAGUCUGAUCCUGUGGUCCAGGGUGGUAACCAGGGUAGUGAUGACCCGCCCAGCAGCUCAUCACCUCGCCGACCCGCCCCUUCCAAGCACUGACUAUGUGUAAAGACUCCCAUACUCUUGGUCUUUCCAUUGUAGAUUAGAAUGAAUGUGGUGACGUAAUUUUUUAUAUAUUGGUACACUGAUAUUGUCGAGGUUCUCGGUUAAUGAAAGUGGUGCGUGAGUCAUGCAAGAUGGCUUGUGGUGUGUUUUUGUGGUAAAUGAAUUUUUGCAGUAUUUUCCAGUCAGCUACAUUCUUUAGGGUUCAUUCCAAACAUAUUCCAGACAUGUGCAUUUGUAUUAUAAUAAUAAGUGCAAUAAGAGUAAGACAUUGUUGAAGGUUCCAAACAAUCUGACAGAGGAGAUAUUUAUUACUGUACUUUUGUUUAUUCUCUUGUUAUUCGUCGAUGCAUUAUUACAAUAUUUUGAAAAAUGCCUUUUGUUUGAUACCUGGUGUUCAUUUCUGUUUGUGUAUAGGUCUAUCUGUACUCCUAGUCUUCAUUCUUGUUAUUUUUAAAAUUGUAAUAAUCUUGUGCUAUAGCAGUGAUUUGUGUUUCUUGGUGUUAGAUGUGACUAGAUAUAACUUCACCUAUUUUGUGAGUUCGUGUUUGAUGUUCCAUCAGAUAAGUGUACUGUAAAUGUGAACUUUGUUUUCUUAUGAGUAGUAGUUAUUGUUUUUGUUCUGUUGACUUUACUCAGGUUCUUGGUGAAGUUUGAUCUAGACUUUCGAAGUACUAUUCUGUCGUCAACAACCUUAUAGUUAAUUUUUCUUUUGUCCGUAGAAUACCAUUGACGACACAAUAGUAAAGAACUGUGCCAGUUUUACUUUAAGCUGUGGUUAUAUUUUUUCUUUUAGUACACUAUGAGUGAGCCUAUACCUUGCAUUAGUUGUAAGAAUAGUGGCAGACCAAUGUAUUCCAGACUUAUGGAUAGUGGUGCCACUCUUUUCCUGAAAUUGAUGGUCUGAAUCCUUAUGACCUUUAAAAAACAAAUUAUCUCACUUAGUAAUGUAAGUGGUAAUCCCAUCAUGCAGUUAGUUCCUGAAUAAUGCUAGUGCUUUAUUUUUAUUGUGUUUAUUUCAUACUGUUUUGAAACAGUACAGUACUGUAUAUGGGAAGUCAUGUGGAACUGGGGAAUAUCAAAAGAGUAUUCUGAAUUGAUGCUGUUCUUUUAUGUUUAUUAUUGUGCUUUUAUUAUUCAAAUUAUAAACUUAAUUUUUUUGCACUAGUACUGUACUCAAAUUUGCCUUUCUGAUGAGAAUUUUUAGUUCAAUAUGUUUGCAAAACUUUUGAAAACAAAUUAAUUUAUUUGUCACCAUUAGUAAAGUGUUUUAUUUACAUUAUGAGUUUGAGAAAUUGCCAUUUGUUAUUAUUUUUCAUUGCAUUAUGAAACUUUUUCCCUUAUGGCUUAAAAUUUUUAUGCCAAAGCCAAAAUUUGGAUCUUGUUGUAUCCAUAGUGUGUAAGGAAUAGGUUUUAGUAAAAUGCUUAAGUUUUAGUUUAGUUUGUUGUGCUUUCAUGAUUGUUAGUGUUAUCAGUAGUUACUAACCAAAGAACUAACUUGCAUGUUCUCCUAAUGUGAGAGCUAAACAGUGUCUCUGUACACAGUAAUCAUUGGGUUGAGAUAAACCUAUUGGCAGCACACUUUUUCCUUUAAUAUACAGUAAAUAACUUUCAGAAUCCAUCCUGAUCCCUUUAUUUUAAUUAAAUAAUUCAGUACAGUAUUAUAGAAUCCAUCACGAUAUCUUCAAUAAAUCGUUUAAUAUGUCUAACCCCAUCCCUUUACUGAUAACUCUUACAACUACAGUAUUCAAUAAAUGAAGUUAAAUGAUAAUAAUUGGUACCUCAUGCUUUGGCAAAUUAACUAAUUAGUGUGGAGAACUCAUGUACUGUAUCAGUACAAAUUACAUGAAAAAUAUUAUACAGUACUGUACUUGGUUGUAAGUAGCUACCCUGUACAGUACAGUAUUGGCUAAAAAGAUGGAGGAUCAGUUCUUCCCCCAAGUCUCAAACCUUAAAUGGGAUACAGGAAAAGACCUCCUCUGAGUCAGUCUGUCAACACCUGCUAAACAAAGGCCGUUACUUUGAUUACCAUUAUACAAUAUCUGUAGGCAUUUUAAACAUCCAUAUUAACAUUAUGUUCUUAUCUUGGAAUUUUUAAAAUGUCUGCUGCUCCACGAGCUUUGUCCACAAGGAUGGAUACACCUGGUCACAGGCUUGUUAAGAAUGCAUCCUUUACUAUUUCAGGUAGUGUGUAAUUUAUAGUAUUUUAAUAUUUUCCUCAUACAAAGGUACUGUAUUGUGGCUGUGGUACAGUUAACUAAGCAAUUAUCAGUCUAUUGAAUUUCAUUUCAUGAACUAAGAAAAAUGCUAAUCUUGAAGGUACUGUACAAGUAAAACAUGUACUGUAUUUAGUGUUUUACUUGGGUUGCAUAUAAUUACUGACAGUAAGUCAUAUAAACAGAUAUUUGUGCUUGUAUUCCCUGUGUACAAAUAUAUGUAUAUUGUAGUAAUGUGUCUGUAUAUUUAUGUGAUGCACAUGUGUUUUCUGCUGUCAUUCAUACAUUUUCUUUAUUUCAAACAAUUGAUGCACUUCUUUAUAUUUAAACAGUGUGCUCAAGGUUCAAGCUGUAUGGUUGAUGCACAAAUAGUGAAGUUAUUGGAUUGAAUCUUAACACCAAAGUACAAACAAUUAAAAUCACUAAUUCACUUGCUUUUAGGCUUUUAAUGAAGGUAAUCACAAACAAAAAUUGUCAAGGCCAGUGUUACAGUUUUAAGUUAUUUAUAUUAUUUUUUAUUUUUUUUUUUUCAAUGUGGACUGUGAUGCUGAGGUAACUGAAGUUGUUUUUUGUAUUAUUGUAUUCAGGGUUUUUAUUUUAACCUCUGGCUGCUCACUAGCUUAACCAGGUCAUUUAACAUCCGGCCAAUUGAAAUUACUGUAGUCUUAAGCAAUAUUUCCGUUCAUCUGAUAACUUCAAAAUUAGUCCAGUACAGUAUUUUGAUUUUAAGUUAAUAUCUCAAUAUUGUACUGUAUGUAUGUAUGUAUUCAAUACUUCACUCCGAGUCACUGUGUGUGUUCAGUGUGUUUGUGGUAUGUAUGUCAAAGCCUGUCGUCCCCUGCUUCUUGAAAUAAUUUUUUGGGGACUUCCACUUAAACCUAUUUGUGAAAACCCUGAAUAUUGAUGUUGUAAGUCACUAUGUUUGAGUAUUAUAUAAGUCAGGUUAUCUUAUAUCUCGUACUGUAAUGUCAACCAGAUGCCAGGUAAUUGUCAUUCAGCCACGACAAUUAUUACUCUUAUAUUGUGUAAAAGAAGAGAAAAUUUGUCCUUUAUUUAAAUAUGUAUUUUAGUUGAUUAACUAUCAUGGAGUAAAGUUGUUGAGAUAUGUGAAAAUAUAUUUUAUAUCAUGAGCCAAUAUAGGCGGGUAUUAUCCUUGUGUCCCUGCCACUCUGUACAGUUGUCUUGCACCACUUCUCAUAUUAUAUGUUCUUGUCCCUCCCUUCCUCCAGUUCUUAAGGAUUUUUGUAUCUCAUUUGACUGGUAGAGAAAUAACGACAUGGGAUAAUUUAUGUAAAUUUUGUAAGAUAAGUAAAUGAAGCCAUGACUUGAUGUUUAGAUGCAAUUUAGGGGAGAGUUCUUUUGGGGGGGGUGGAUUUUUAUUUAAGUUAUUGUUUUUCUGAUAGGAAACACCAUAUAGCACUCAAGAGUAAACUGCAAAUAUACAUUAAAGGGCCAUGUACUUAAAAUUUUUACAAACAGUAUUAUUUACUGUACAUCAUCACUUUAGGGGUCACAUCAGGGAUUCACAGUGGGUAUGGUGCUGUUUUUGGAACCUGUGUGUUUAUGAGUGUAGAGGUUUAUAGUGUGGUCAUGGUGCUAAUAGUCACUAGCAUCCCAACUAUAAACCUUCGAACUUAAUUCAUUUACAGUACACACAUUAUUCCCUUAAAACUCGCAGGGGGUGAGUAAAAUGGAUCCCGCGAGAAAGCAAAAUCCACAAAUUUUUUUAUGCCGGUUCCAGGAGUGUGCAAAAUUCAUAUAAAUAGCUAUGUCCACAUGUAUAACAACAUUAUGUAUGCCUCAGACUAUAAUAAACAUGAAAUAACAUAAAUAAACAAAUAUAAAAUAACACUUACUCUGUACUGCACUGUAGUGUUGACUCCUCUGGAUCCCUGGCAACUCUCCCCUUGCCAUAUGUAAGGUGGAUGACAGCUAUGAUGAUGAUGUUUACUGCCCCCUCACCCUUCUUGCAACUUGUCUAACACCUUCAUCUUUAAUGUCAUUUUCAUUUCCCUUUUCUUCUUAGGUGGGGUUUCAUUUCUAGAACCACUUGCAGGGCAUUUGGGAGGCACGGUGAAACACAGAAUGCUGCAAAGAAGCCAGCAGGUGAACAGCAUUGGGAGGAUAGCAGACCAUAAACAACACUAGGAGCAGGGAAGUGCAUGUGCCACUGAGUGGCCAUAAGCUCACUACGACAGCUGAUGCUAGUCUUGCGCACCGCCCUGCAGCCUCAGAUUUAGUUUCCACGGCAAUUCACAAGUUUCUGAGGGAUGCAAGAUUUAAGGGAAUACUAUACUGUAUAUAUGUAUAUACAUACACUGGUUAUAAAAACAAUAUUGUAUCAACUGUGAACCCAAUGUGGUCCCUUAAGGUUCAUGAUCUUACAUGUGACUGCAUUCACCAGUUUCCUAAACCUUUUUCAGUUGUAGUUAUGUGUAGUUGCCAGUUCCUGAAUUUUUUAAUGGCACCAAUAUGGGUUUUAGAGGCAUUAUGUAGCUCAGCUAGAAGUAUGUUCACUAUUACAGUAGUCUUAAUUAUUUUGAAUUAAAUAUAUAACUGUUACAUGAACAGCAUCUUAAGGUUGAUCAAUACUAUUUCAUUGCUUCUCCUCACAUAAAGAAGCCUGAAUGGUCUGGACAAGUUUUGUGUUGUUUAUAUCAUUACUACUUUAACCUUAACCUUACCACAUGCAUGAAUUCGUAACUGAUUUAAUGUGUUACUGCAGGCGUGUAUACAUAGCCAGCUCAGCCAUGUGGUAAGGAAGGAAUUAAAGCCACAAAAUGUCCCAAAUUUGUAAAGGUAAAGCCUCUCCAUUACAGUGUAAUUCUCAGCACUGACAUUGGAAGAGUCAAUCUACUAGUACAAAACUGCCACCUGUUUGUGUAUGCACUUUGAAGACUAAACUUGUCAUUUUUA
rnacentral:lncRNA from 1 species